AUAUAAUUCAAAUUCCAUGUUUGUACAUUUACAUAUAUUUAUAUAUAAACAGUAAUAACAGCAUGGACGUAGGCUACGCACAACCACCAUAAAAUCUUACCGCGGUAGUUAAGAUUGGGCUUGGUGUAUUCGGAAUAAGAUUUCCACACGUUAUACGAAAAUGGAUCGGGAUAAAGAGAGUAUCCGGUAGUAGUUUUAGCAGCUCUGCUUUGUCGUUUAGUGUACCUCCACAUUGCCCUCAAUUCUUCGCAUGUCGGCUCCGUCAGGUCAACGCGCUUCUCGGCAAUGUCGCCGGUGUUCCCUGAUUGCGCCGAGAUCGGAUCAAUGUAUCGUAUACCGGUCACGAACGGGGUGCUUGAGUACGCUAACACAAAAGCUGUCCAUACGGCCACAGUACGCAUUUUCUAGAGAAUAAAAUAUACAAGUUCAUAUUCAAGAUUCAAGAUGAGAGAUGAAAGAAGGAUAUCAAUAAUCAAGCAACGAAAUUACGAAAAAAGAACAUUUUUCACUGGGAAUUUCGAUAAAUCAAAGGGAGCAGCGAACGAGAGAGCGAGCAAAGAACGAGUCGCAUGAAUGGAGUCAGCGGACACACGGAGUAGAGAAUGAGGGUGAGAGAAAGAGAGAGAGAGAAACAGAGAGGGUGCCAAGGAUGGAAGGAGGUCAAGAGUGGAACGAAGAGAAACUGGUGAAUGAACGAGAGUUGGAUUCACUAACCUGCCA